rnacentral:lncRNA from 1 species
GACUUCCGCUUCACCUCGCUAUCUUGCCCUAGAAAGGGAACUCGGAGGGGACUCACUGACGAAAGGAGCUCCAGAUGGCGGGGGGCCAACCUGGGGCGACCCCCAGCGCCCACUUUCACCAUCUGGACCCCAGCAAACCUCCCUGUGGCCCUUGGUCCCGUCUUCAGCAGCUCCUUCUGGGGUCCCACACCUUCGGAGCCCGGCCCUGCCCCUGAGUCUCUGGAGAGAGCGAGUCAGCAGUUCGCCGCCGCGGGGCUCCCGUUUGCCUAGCACGCCAGUUUCUGUCCAGUUUCACCCCAAAUCCCCACCUCCCCCCACCCCCGAACCUCACGGCCACCCUGGGAAGGAGGCUUGACUUGUGACAUCCACCCCUCUUCACGGCUGAGGAACUUUGGCCCCGAGCGAGGAAGCGACCGGCCCACGGCCACACGCCCGGAGUGGGGGGCAGCAUCUUCUACUAUGUGCAUCUACAUUGGAUGGCAGUGGAGCAACACAGAUUGUUUUCUGACAAAAAUCAGCCAAGUACUAGGAGAGGCAGGACUUUAGAAGUGGAGGAGAUGGAGAAGGAAGCUUAGGUUACUAUGGAGUGUGCAAAAAGGUCCUGUGGAUUUAGAUACCACCACACACAAAUGCUGUUGUUGGAAGGUACCUGCCCAGAUAAGGACUGCAUUUCCUCUAGCAUCCAGAUGGGACCAAAUGACUGCUGGCCAAUAGAAGUGAGUGGAAAGGACUGACUCCAGUUCCAGGUUGGGCCUCCAACUGCUCUGGGCACGUCGAUGGAACAGAACACCACCUCCACCCCAAUACCACCAAUUCAACUUUACAUGAAUUAUAAGCGAGAAAUAACUUGGACUGUGUUAAGUCAUUGAGUUUCUGGGGUUUAACUGUUAUUAUAGUUAAGAAUGACUUUAACUAAUAUAGUCAAUGACAUCUAA